rnacentral:misc_RNA from 1 species
AAAAAGACCGAGAAAGAACUUCUCAAAGAAGAAGUGAAUAUGCUGAAGGCCGAAAAUUCAAAACUUUUGGACCGAAUAAGAAUGCUCGAAAAGGCCCUAUGCAGCAAAAUUUUCGAAACAGAAAAAAACCACGUCCUGUGCGAGGGCUGCAGCCGCAAGCCAGAACAACAAGUUGCGCUUUUGCCAUUGCCAUGUGCCGCCACGGUGCAGCCGCCACGCACCGCCACAGCGACCACGGGCAGCCCUGAAGUGGCCCACACAAGUGCGAGGGAGGCCGAUUGCGUGCCCACUGACGGAGAGGCGCAUCUGGGCAAAGGGCCAUUCCUGAGGGCCUGUACAGCCGCCUCAUGGGCACAAAAAGCGAAACCCGCUUUGUUCGUGAGGCGGCCGUUGCCAUUUAUUCAACGGCAGGCUUAGUCGGGCGGAGUGUAACUGGAACAGCCUCUAACCGGACGAAGGGAGAGGCAAAGCCUCCCUCGGAUAAAGAAAUAUACGCUGUGUUUUCUGAUUUCUUCAACCAUUUUUAGAAAAAC